GCAGUUGUGGCCGAAUGGUUAAGGCGGCGAUAGACUUGAAAUCUAUUCCUCUCUGAAGGCGUAGGUUCGAACCCUACCAACUGCG
rfam:Daphnia pulex DAPPTscaffold_73_Cont3716, whole genome shotgun sequence.